UAAUGCAUGUGCCUCAGUGUUUGACAAGGAUAAUCUACAGGCAGAGGAUGCCUUCCUUACUCUGAGCACUUCCGUGCAGUUCUCCAUGCUGCCACCCUAGACUACUUCCAAAACCUGUCAUUUGAAGACAGAAGAGUCAUUUCCUCUACGUGUCAAUAUACAGCAGAGACUUACCUCAAGCAAAUCAAGAGGACAUCCUACACACAGAUAUGAAUGUGGCUUACUAAGAGUAUCAUAACUGAUCUGAACAUAUGCAAUAGAACUAAUGAAGCCUUUGGCUCACUGUGCCUGUGCCACCGUAUACAUCCUUGGAGAGAGAUUCCUGUCUGCCUUAUAAGAGGAUGGAGUGCCCCAUAAGACUACUUUUGACGGAAGUCACAGAAGACCACUUCUGGUUCUCCUUGGUUGAAACCCUCUGCUCUGGUGCAUACUGAGACAAAACUG